CCUACGGGUGGCAGCAGUGGGGAAUAUUGCACAAUGGGGGAAAGCCUGAUGCAGCGACGCCGCGUGAGUGAAGAAGUAUCUCGGUAUGUAAAGCUCUAUCAGCAGGGAAGAAAAUGACGGUACCUGACUAAGAAGCCCCGGCUAACUACGUGCCAGCAGCCGCGGUAAUACGUAGGGGGCAAGCGUUAUCCGGAUUUACUGGGUGUAAAGGGAGCGUAGACGGCGCUGCAAGUCCGGAGUGAAAGCCCAGGGCUUAACCCUGGGACUGCGUUGGAAACUGUGGGGCUUGAGUGUGGGAGGGGCAGGCGGAAUGCCUAGUGUAGCGGUGAAAUGCGUAGAGAUUAGGAGGAACACCGGCGGCGAAGGCGGCCUGCUGGACCGUAACUGACGUUGAGGCUCGAAAGCGUGGGGAGCAAACAAGAUUAGAUACCCCAGUAGUC
rnacentral:rRNA from 1 species